rnacentral:rRNA from 1 species
AGUGAACGCUGGCGGUAGGCCUAACACAUGCAAGUCGAACGGCAGCACAGUAAGAGCUUGCUCUUACGGGUGGCGAGUGGCGGACGGGUGGGGAAUACAUCGGAAUCUACUUUUUCGUGGGGGAUAACGUAGGGAAACUUACGCUAAUACCGCAUACGACCUACGGGUGAAAGCAGGGGAUCUUCGGACCUUGCGCGAUUGAAUGAGCCGAUGUCGGAUUAGCUAGUUGGCGGGGUAAAGGCCCACCAAGGCGACGAUCCGUAGCUGGUCUGAGAGGAUGAUCAGCCACCAUGGAACUGAGGCAACGUCCAGAAUCCUAAGGGAGGCAGCAGUGGGGAAUAUUGGACAAUGGGGGGCAGCCUGAUCCAGCCAUACCGCGUGGGUGAAGAAGGCCUUCGGGUUGUAAAGCCCUUUUGUUGGGAAAGAAAAGCAGCAGGUUAAUACCCCGCUGGUCUGGCGGUACCCAAAGAAUAAGGCCCGGCUAACUUCGUG